rnacentral:rRNA from 1 species
UACAGAGGUGGCAAGCGUUGUUCGGAAUUACUGGGCGUAAAGGGCGCGUAGGCGGCCUUCUUAGUCGAACGUGAAAUCCCCAGGCUCAACUUGGGAACUGCGUCCGAUACUGGAUGGCUUGAGUGCAGGAGAGGAACGCAGAAUUCCAGGUGUAGCGGUGAAAUGCGUAGAUAUCAGGAGGAACACCGGUGGCGAAGGCGGGUCUCUGGGCCGAUACUGACGCUGAGGAGCGAAAGCGUGGGGAGCGAACAGG